rnacentral:rRNA from 1 species
UACGUAGGGUGCGAGCGUUAAUCGGAAUUACUGGGCGUAAAGCGUGCGCAGGCGGCGAUGUAAGACAGAUGUGAAAUCCCCGGGCUCAACCUGGGAACUGCAUUUGUGACUGCAUCGCUGGAGUGCGGCAGAGGGGGAUGGAAUUCCGCGUGUAGCAGUGAAAUGCGUAGAUAUGCGGAGGAACACCGAUGGCGAAGGCAAUCCCCUGGGCCUGCACUGACGCUCAUGCACGAAAGCGUGGGGAGCAAACGGG